AGUUUGAUCAUGGCUCAGAGCGAACGGCUGGCGGCAUGCUUAACACAUGCAAGUCGCACGGAGGGGGCAACCCCUCAGUGGCGGACGGGUGAGUAACGCGUAGGUAUCUGUCCAUGGGUGGGGGAUAACAGCGGGAAACUGCUGCUAAUACCGCAUGACACCUGAGGGUCAAAGGCGCAAGUCGCCUGUGGAGGAGCCUGCGUCCGAUUAGCUUGUUGGUGGGGUAACGGCCUACCAAGGCGAUGAUCGGUAGCUGGUCUGAGAGGAUGAUCAGCCACACUGGGACUGAGACACGGCCCAGACUCCUACGGGAGGCAGCAGUGGGGAAUAUUGGACAAUGGGCGCAAGCCUGAUCCAGCAAUGCCGCGUGGAUGAAGAAGGUCUUCGGAUUGUAAAGUCCUUUCGGCGGGGACGAUGAUGACGGUACCCGCAGAAGAAGCCCCGGCUAACUUCGUG
rnacentral:rRNA from 1 species